ACUCAUCUUCUAUCAACCCGAGAGGCAGGAGAGAAGUGAAGAAGUGGUGAAAACAAGCAUUUAAAUCACUGAAUUAAUGAAAUUAUAAAUGAACAAGAACAGAAAAGGACACAAAAGGAUGGCUGCUACCAAGAAUCCAUAGAUCUACAGACUGGCCAAAGGGAGUUUUCUUUACUCUUCUCUUAAAUCUUUAAACAUGGUAUUUCACCAGCACACAACGCUGCAGAGGACUUGCUGAAUUUAGGGCCUGUCCCGAACCCCACAGGUGCAGUCUAUACGCACUACUUGUCUAUUUACAUGAAGGUGUGGAGAACAUCUGUGACCUGAUGGGACACAUUUACGACUUUAUUAACACAUUGAGAUUUUCAACACUUUACACUUUAAAAUAAGCUUAGAAACGUCUGUUCAGUCUGUGACAGACAACACAAUUUAAUAGUGAUUAACACAAUUUAAUAGUGAUAAAGAGCAGUUACAAUUGUUUCAUGAAAUAUACAGUCAUCAUUUUAUCACUAAAUUAUAAUCGCUAAUUAAUUAAACAGACUGGAAUGCCUCUCGUUGAUUUCAGGGUACGCAAACUCCUGAAUAUGAGGAAUGAUGGGAUGCACUCGGUCUCAGACAUCACAGUGAGAGAAGCAGUGUGUGUCAAGGCAGUCUU